UACGAAGGGGGCUAGCGUUGCUCGGAAUUACUGGGCGUAAAGGGCGCGUAGGCGGAUACUUAAGUCGGGGGUGAAAGCCCGGGGCUCAACCUCGGAAUUGCCUUCGAUACUGGGUAUCUUGAGUUCGGGAGAGGUGAGUGGAAUGCCGAGUGUAGAGGUGAAAUUCGUAGAUAUUCGGCGGAACACCAGUGGCGAAGGCGACUCACUGGCCCGCUACUGACGCUGAUGCGCGAAAGCGUGGGGAGCAAACAGG
rnacentral:rRNA from 1 species